rnacentral:rRNA from 1 species
GACGAACGCUGGCGGCGUGCUUAACACAUGCAAGUCGAACGAUGAUGGACCUUCGGGUUUGGAUUAGUGGCGAACGGGUGAGUAACACGUGAGUAACCUGCCCUUCACUGUGGGAUAACCUUCGGAAACGUGGGCUAAUACCGCAUAGGAGCUCCUGCUGCAUGGUGGGGGUUUGAAAGAUUUUUUGGUGGGGGAUGGGCUCGCGGCCUAUCAGCUUGAUGGUGGGGUGAUGGCCUACCAUGGCUUCGACGGGUAGCCGGCCUGAGAGGGCGACCGGCCACACUGGGACUGAGAUACGGCCCAGACUCCUACGGGAGGCAGCAGUGGGGAAUAUUGCACAAUGGGCGGAAGCCUGAUGCAGCAACGCCGCGUGCGGGAUGACGGCCUUCGGGUUGUAAACCGCUUUCACCUGUGACGAAGUUUUUUUGACGGUAGCAGGAGAAGAAGCACCGGCUAACUACGUG